rnacentral:rRNA from 1 species
UAAAUUUAACAUCGUGCGGCGGCUACCAUGCAGUCGAACGGUAGCACAGAGAGCUUGCUCUCGGGUGACGAGUGGCGGACGGGUGAGUAAUGUCUGGGAAACUGCCCGAUGGAGGGGGAUAACUACUGGAAACGGUAGCUAAUACCGCAUAACGUCGCAAGACCAAAGAGGGGGACCUUCGGGCCUCUUGCCAUCGGAUGUGCCCAGAUGGGAUUAGCUGGUAGGUGAGGUAACGGCUCACCUAGGCGACGAUCCCUAGCUGGUCUGAGAGGAUGACCAGCCACACUGGAACUGAGACACGGUCCAGACUCCUACGGGAGGCAGCAGUGGGGAAUAUUGCACAAUGGGCGCAAGCCUGAUGCAGCCAUGCCGCGUGUAUGAAGAAGGCCUUCGGGUUGUAAAGUACUUUCAGCGGGGAGGAAGGGAGUGAGGUUAAUAACCUUAUUCAUUGACGUUACCCGCAGAAGAAGCACCGGCUAACUCCGUGCCAACAUCCGCGGUAAUACGGAGGGUGCAAGCGUUAAUCGGAAUUACUGGGCGUAAAGCGCACGCAGGCGGUCUGUCAAGUCGGAUGUGAAAUCCCCGGGCUCAACCUGGGAACUGCAUUCGAAACUGGCAGGCUGGAGUCUUGUAGAGGGGGGUAGAAUUCCAGGUGUAGCGGUGAAAUGCGUAGAGAUCUGGAGGAAUACCGGUGGCGAAGGCGGCCCCCUGGACAAAGACUGACGCUCAGGUGCGAAAGCGUGGGGAGCAAACAGGAUUAGAUACCCUGGUAGUCCACGCUGUAAACGAUGUCGACUUGGAGGUUGUUCCCUUGAGGAGUGGCUUCCGGAGCUAACGCGUUAAGUCGACCGCCUGGGGAGUACGGCCGCAAGGUUAAAACUCAAAUGAAUUGACGGGGGCCCGCACAAGCGGUGGAGCAUGUGGUUUAAUUCGAUGCAACGCGAAAAAACCUUACCUACUCUUGACAUCCACAGAACUUAGCAGAGAUGCCUUUGGUGCCUUCGGGAACUCUGAAACAGGUGCUGCAUGGCUGUCGUCAGCUCGUGUUGUGAAAUGUUUGGUUAAGUCCGGCAACGAGCGCAACCCUUAUCCUUUGUUGCCACCGAUUCCGUCGGGAAACUCAAAGGAAACUGCCCAUUGAUAAACUGGAAGGAAGGUGGGGGAUGAACUUCAAGUCAUCCAUGGCCCCUUACCAAAUAGGGGCUACCAACCGUGCCUACAAUGGGCCUUUACCAAAGGAA